rnacentral:sRNA from 1 species
ACUAAUCCCCCACAACCACCCCCUGCUGUGGACCUCGCGGACCUCGGACUCACCAAGUGCCGAGUGGCAGAUGUGCUGCUGAGGGUGCGCUGGGGCGCAGCUGCAUGCCUCACCCAGCCCCAGGGGCCACAGCAACGCCAGCAGCCGCAGCAAAAGCACCCAGCUUGGCGCGGGCCGAGGGCUCCCAGGCAUGACACUGCAGAUCCCCGACUGAGCCUGUGAGCUGACACUGCCCACGUUCCCUGUGGUGGUGAAGAUUGGCCACGCUCACUCAGGCAUGGGCAAGGUCAAAGUGGAAAACCACUACGACUUCCAGGACAUUGCCAGCGUGGUGGCUCUCACCCAGACCUAUGCCACUGCAGAGCCUUUCAUUGACUCCAAGUAUGACAUCCGGGUCCAGAAGAUUGGCAACAACUACAAGGCUUACAUGAGGACAUCGAUCUCAGGGAACUGGAAGACGAACACUGGCUCUGCGAUGCUGGAGCAGAUCGCCAUGUCAGACAGGUACAAACUGUGGGUGGACACCUGCUCUGAGAUGUUUGGCGGCCUG